rnacentral:rRNA from 1 species
UUUUGGACAAUGGGCGCAAGCCUGAUCCAGCCAUUCCGCGUGAGUGAAGAAGGCCUUCGGGUUGUAAAGCUCUUUCGCAAGGGGAGACCCCCUUAAUCUCUAAUAUAGAGUGAUUAUGACGGUACCUUGAUAAGAAGCACCGGCUAACUACGUGCCAGCAGCCGCGGUAAUACGUAGGGUGCGAGCGUUAAUCGGAAUUACUGGGCGUAAAGCGUGCGCAGGCGGUUUUGUAAGUCAGAUGUGAAAUCCCCGAGCUCAACUUGGGAACUGCCUUCGAAACUACAAGACUAGAAUAGGUCAGAGGGGGGUAGAAUUCCACGUGUAGCAGUGAAAUGCGCAGAGAUGUGGAGGAAUAUCAAUGGCGAAGGCAGCCCCCUGGGAUCAUAUUGACGCUCAUGCACGAAA